rnacentral:rRNA from 1 species
UUUUAUGAGAGUUUGAUCCUGGCUCAGGACGAACGCUGGCGGCGUGCCUAAUACAUGCAAGUAGAACGCUGAAAUCUGGUGCUUGCACUAGACGGAUGAGUUGCGAACGGGUGAGUAACGCGUAGGUAACCUGCCUCAUAGCGGGGGAUAACUAUUGGAAACGAUAGCUAAUACCGCAUAACAGUAUUAACCG